rnacentral:tRNA from 1 species
GCACCCGUAGCUCAGUUGGAUAGAGCGUCGGUCUACGAAACCGAAGGUCGGGUGUUCGAGCCACCCCGGGUGCGCCA